GGUAGUCAUUUUAACGUAAAUUAUUAUCAAAAUCUGCAAUCUGCUAAAAAGCAUCACUAUCAACGGAACUCUGCUUAGAAUCGUUUUGGUUUGCAAUGAUUUAUCGUUGCUUACAGGAAAUGUAUAAAUACAUGAAAUUCCCUUCUGUAUAUUACAUUCUCAACUUCUCGCCUACAACAGCGGCUGCAUCCGUAUGAAAAGUAUGGCCGUCUUUCUUUUUUAAAAACAAUAUUUAUUGAAAAUAAAACGAUCUAUUGUUAAUUAGUUUACAAUAUUUAUUAAAAACAUAAUAUAAAUUUACAAAUUUAUUUAUGCUAGUAAAUAGGUUGACAAAGAAAAUUAAUAUAAUGUGUGCAAUUAUAAAAAGACCCCCUAUGAUAAUAGAAACGGGUGCAGAUAUUGUAUAGGUAAUUUCAUAUAUAUUUGUAAGAAGCGAUAAACCAUUGAUAACGAAAAAUCGAUUCUGAGAGAAUUUCAGUUGUUGAUAAUCAUACUUUAACAAUAAAUAUGUCAAUUAUGGUAAAAUACUGAAAUAGGCAUUAUAUACGAGUAUAUUCUUUAACAACAUUUAUUUAAUAUUGUUCCGAUUUUCCUGAUUUUUCACAUUUUCUGGAAAAACUCAUAGGAAAAUCGAAAAAUAACUUCCCUAAAGUACCUUCCCUGUCAGUUAUAUUUUCAGAAAAAGUGCUAUCAUCGUAAAUUGGAGCCAGAUUGCUUGUAAAAAAGUUGUUCUCAGGAAAAAAAAGGCCGAAAUAUUGUAUAACUAAUAUCUAUAUUUUGUACAUUUUUCUAUU